UCUCUAAAAAGCUAGGAUAUGUUGAAAAAUAUUCAUUUGUUGCUUUGCCUGUUAUUGAUGUGCAUGAUGCCUCCUGCCAUUUAAAGCCUGUUUAGUAAAGUGAUGCUAUUCUGAUGCUUUUGAUUGGUUCUCUCGUUUGAAUUUGCAGCCACCACGUCUGCCAGUUACAUCAAUCCACAUUGCCACUGAAAGCUUUAGACUACAACCUGUCUGAGGUUUGCCACCAUGCCGAGUGAUAAAAAUGCGUUCCAGUGCUGGAAAUGUAAAAAUCAUUUCAUCCAGAAAUCAGAAAAGGCUGCAAAUAUAACAGUUCAGUGCAAAAUAUGUUUGCCAGCUAUUAAAAUGCUAUCGACAUCGAAGGUUUCAAUGUCGAACCAGAAGAAGCAUCUGUAGGUUUGUAAUUUAGCAUACAGUUAACUAAGCAGUCAUUAAAUAAAGUAGGAAAGACACCAAUGUUUCAGGAGUUUAGGACAUUACAGUUUUAUCUUCUGUUAAUGCUGGAUUUCUGUAAAGCUGCUUUGAAACGAUGUGUGUUGUGAAAGGCGCUAUACAAAUAAAGUUCACUUGACUAGGACACAGACUAGGACACAUGCUUAUUCAAUAACCUAUUUGGUUAUGUUUAUGCUUUAUUUUUACGAUUUACUUUUUCCCCAAGGCAUUGUUCGAUGCCAGUGUUUCCUGUCAUAGCUAUGCAAAGAUUUGAUUUCAAAAACAGUAUCAUGGCUAUUAAACUAUUUCUUGUUAUGAUUUAAAAUCUGUAUUUAACCUCGGAAUGAUCUCAAAGUAAAAAGCGGUACUAAAGUCUGAUUUUGUGGUGGCUCUGCUUCAAAAUUAAAUUAUUAUAAUCUUAUUUCAAGUGAUGAAGGAUUUUUUAAUUAGUCUGACAGUAAUCAGUGUUGAGUACUACUGUAAGGUUAACCCUACCUGGUUUAAAUGUUUGAAAAUGAUUAACAGUUGAAAACAUUCGUUAGAAAUUUAGAAAAGUAAUCAAAUGUAGUCUGUUACAUCAAUCAAGUAACAGUUACACUACUUAUUACAUUUUUAAAUAGGGUAACUUGUAAUCUGUAACCUAUUACAUUUCCAAAGUAACCUUCCCAACACUGUUCGUAAUGUUACAAACACAAUUAAGCAUCUUGUUUAAUGUUAGAUGUAGCUUCAACAUAAAAUGUGUUUAACAAAUGUUGUUUGUUGAAAUAAAAAUGAAAUGAAAUAUCAUGCAUUACAUUUAAAAUGUACCUUUAGCACAAGUAAUCUUACAUUGUUCUGAUCAAAGUCCUUUCACAAGCGCAUCCAAACAAUAAUGUGAUUCUAACCGACACUCGAUCCCCUCAGGUGGGAGGGGUUUCAAGUUAAACACAUACCCCUGUUCACACAUACAGGUUUUUUAAUUCCCAAUGUUAAAGUGUCAUAUCUCCUAGGAAAUAUUUUUUAAGACUGUUUAUUGAGGUGCGGGAUUACGUAAGGCAUUUACAAGCUACUUUAAGGGCUGUCGGGCAAAUUACCUGCUGUGUUUGUUAACCAGAUUUCGAAGUGUCCUUUUAAAUCUUUUUAUCUCUCUGAAGUGUUAAAAAAUAUUCAAAGUAUCUGUUCACACAUCCAUGAAGCCUGGUCAACUCUUAAAGUGGCAUAUCUCUUAGGAAAUGUUUUUAAUUCUGUUUAUUGCUUUAUUAUCCAUCUUUAAGAGGUAAUCCGGGGUUGUCUGCACUCCAUCGAAAAAUGUUUCGGUCAAAUGAUUUGCUGCAUUUAAGGAGCAUGUGUGUGUGUGUGUGUUUUAAAAUCUUUGAUCCUCACUGAAGCGUUUCCAAGUAUCAUCUUAAACUGAUGCCUGCAACUUUUAAAGUGACAUCUCUCUUAGGAAAUGAUUUUAAAACUGUUUAUUGCUUUUGGUGUGUGAUGAGACAAGAUGUUUACGGCCGAACCUUUGGGGUUGUCGGCCAAAUGUCCUGCUGUGUUUAGGAAGUUUGUGUUUUGAAAUCUCUCAUCUAAUCUCUCUGAAGUGCCAUCCUGGAUACUUCACAACAACAAAAACGGGGUGGUUGUGGCAGCGGGGGCGUGGUCAAGCGCCCAUCUGGAGAGAGAAAGCGUUUCUGAUAAGAAUGUGGCAGGAGAGGUGUCUGUGAGAGUAGAGGCAGGUUGUUCUCAAAGACUAUUAACCUGUUGAGCUGUUGGCCUGUCAUUGCUGGGUUUGCACUAUGCAAUCAUGUUGUAGAUUUGCUCAAACAGACCUCACAUUACAGCCAGGAGGGAGUAACGGCUGUCCCCCUACUCACAGCUGCACAGGGUCUGAGCAGCAGUGGCAUAAACCUAGAACCCAGGGCUUUAAGCCUGGUCCAACAAAUGAGAUUGUGGUGUUGUCAGCUAGGCCCAAGGAGAGGAUUGGCUGAAGGGAUCAGGAGUAACUUGUACAACGGGCCUGUGACCAGACCUGUGACCUUCCAGACAUGUCAGUUCUGCGUGUGAAUGAGAUUAACCGAGGAAUGCCAAGGGAAACUGCUCCACCCACAACAACAAUGGGAAUAGCAUUUAUUGAAUUGUUUAUUCAAAGAAUAUUCAGAGAUGGGAGAGUCAUAAAAACAAUCAAACAAAAGGUUGAUUACUUUUACCUACCUAUGCUUUUGGCUUGAAAAUUUCCAUGGUUAACUUUCAAUCUGUUUUUUACAAAGUUCAAAUAGUUUGGUUUUCAUGUGUUCACUAUUGUCAUCUGCCACAAAUAUAUUCUAAUACAAUAAAAUUCUAGUAUACAAAUUAUGUUAUGUAGUUGAACAGGUCAUCAUUAAUUUAUUAAA